GAAGCCAGCUUGCUUGGUGGAUCAGUGGCGAACGGGUGAGUAACACGUGAGCAACCUGCCCUGGACUCUGGGAUAAGCGCUGGAAACGGCGUCUAAUACUGGAUAUGAGACGUGAUCGCAUGGUCGUGUUUGGAAAGAUUUUUCGGUCUGGGAUGGGCUCGCGGCCUAUCAGCUUGUUGGUGAGGUAAUGGCUCACCAAGGCGUCGACGGGUAGCCGGCCUGAGAGGGUGACCGGCCACACUGGGACUGAGACACGGCCCAGACUCCUACGGGAGGCAGCAGUGGGGAAUAUUGCACAAUGGGCGGAAGCCUGAUGCAGCAACGCCGCGUGAGGGAUGACGGCCUUCGGGUUGUAAACCUCUUUUAGCAGGGAAGAAGCGAAAGUGACGGUACCUGCAGAAAAAGCGCCGGCUAACUACGUGCCAGCAGCCGCGGUAAUACGUAGGGCGCAAGCGUUAUCCGGAAUUAUUGGGCGUAAAGAGCUCGUAGGCGGUUUGUCGCGUCUGCUGUGAAAUCCCGAGGCUCAACCUCGGGCCUGCAGUGGGUACGGGCAGACUAGAGUGCGGUAGGGGAGAUUGGAAUUCCUGGUGUAGCGGUGGAAUGCGCAGAUAUCAGGAGGAACACCGAUGGCGAAGGCAGAUCUCUGGGCCGUAACUGACGCUGAGGAGCGAAAGGGUGGGGAGCAAACAGGCUUAGAUACCCUGGUAGUCCACCCCGUAAACGUUGGGAACUAGUUGUGGGGACCAUUCCACGGUUUCCGUGACGCAGCUAACGCAUUAAGUUCCCCGCCUGGGGAGUACGGCCGCAAGGCUAAAACUCAAAGGAAUUGACGGGGACCCGCACAAGCGGCGGAGCAUGCGGAUUAAUUCGAUGCAACGCGAAGAACCUUACCAAGGCUUGACAUAUACGAGAACGGGCCAGAAAUGGUCAACUCUUUGGACACUCGUAAACAGGUGGUGCAUGGUUGUCGUCAGCUCGUGUCGUGAGAUGUUGGGUUAAGUCCCGCAACGAGCGCAACCCUCGUUCUAUGUUGCCAGCACGUAAUGGUGGGAACUCAUGGGAUACUGCCGGGGUCAACUCGGAGGAAGGUGGGGAUGACGUCAAAUCAUCAUGCCCCUUAUGUCUUGGGCUUCACGCAUGCUACAAUGGCCGGUACAAAGGGCUGCAAUACCGUAAGGUGGAGCGAAUCCCAAAAAGCCGGUCCCAGUUCGGAUUGAGGUCUGCAACUCGACCUCAUGAAGUCGGAGUCGCUAGUAAUCGCAGAUCAGCAACGCUGCGGUGAAUACGUUCCCGGGUCUUGUACACACCGCCCGUCAAGUCAUGAAAGUCGGUAACACCUGAAGCCG
rnacentral:rRNA from 1 species